rnacentral:rRNA from 1 species
CGUAGGGUGCGAGCGUUAAUCGGAAUUACUGGGCGUAAAGCGUGCGCAGGCGGUUUGUUAAGAUAGGCGUGAAAUCCCCGGGCUCAACCUGGGAACUGCGCUUAUGACUGGCAAGCUAGAGUACGGCAGAGGGGGGUGGAAUUCCACGUGUAGCAGUGAAAUGCGUAGAGAUGUGGAGGAACACCAAUGGCGAAGGCAGCCCCCUGGGUCGAUACUGACGCUCAUGCACGAAGGCGUGGGUAGCAAACAGGAUUAGAUACCCCGGUAGUCCACGCCCUAAACGAUGUCAACUAGGUGUUGGGAGGGUAAAACCUUUUAGUACCGGAGCUAACGCGUGAAGUUGACCGCCUGGGGAGUACGGCCGCAAGGUUA